rnacentral:sRNA from 1 species
GCGCUAACCGGCUUACUGCUAUCUUCCAUAAACAAAAUAAAAUGGACAAGGGACUAUCCAGAAGAAACACACCAAGUAAACAUACAGAAGCCAAGCACUUCCUGGUGACUGAAAGGACCAGGGUGUGGCUCUGGGUGUGGGAGACUGAACUGUGGAGAGGAACAGUCCCCUGGAGAUGCAGAGUUCAAAGUCUCAGCAAUCUGUCCACGCAGGCAGGAAGACACGGAGAAGUGACGAAGUGUGUGUCUGCUACAAGCAUCUGGAAUGCUGUGGGAAAUACAAAACCUCUCCUAAUGUGUGAAUGAGAUUUGGGGAAGAAAAAGAGAUGCAGGUAAGGACAGGAGAGGAGCUCAAAGAGGAAGAGCUACUGAAGAAGAGUAAAGGAGCAGCCAUUGCCCCUAGAUCCAGGAACGCUAGGCUCCUCAGACUGCAAUAGAACCACAGCCCUUGAUACCUCAUCUAUGCCACAAGGCCCUGCAGUCCAAAGCACGUCAAUCCUUUAUGGCACUCAGAAACAGAUUGAUCCUUUGGCAGCUGUGGUGCUUCAGAACCAAUCGGGGCUGGACGUCCUGAGAGCUAAGGAAGGUGGUCUUUGCCUGUUCCUCCAAGAAGAAUGCUGUUUCUACAUCAACCAAUCCAGGAUAGUGAGAGAUAAAAAUCCAAGAGCUACAAUCAGACACACAGAAUUCCAAGGAACACGAGGCCUCCAAUUCCUGGAUUUUUGAAAACCCUAUACUUCCUGUUACAGGAGUACCAGCCGCUGUCCACAAGGAGCUUGAUGUGAACAUUUAACAAGUGAGCCCUGAUGGUGAACGUCAGCUAUACCCCGAAACUGACAAUGCCCAAGACAGCAGGAAGCAGCCUAAGAGACACGGUGCCCCUAUUCCCCUUUCACACAUCAGCCCCCCCUCCCCCUUUCUUCUCUUUAUGAUAGGAAAAAGAGAGGUAUGUUGGUAGCAGGAACCGCUGCUUUUGCCUCUAGCAGUGACAUCACCUAGUCACCUGCAUAUCUGUUGCCAUGGCAAUGACCAUACAUUCCCAGCAUACAUUUAGUUCAGCUCCUACCUUCACCUGGGACCAGUUAUGUCACAGUUCAAGUAAAAGGCAGACCCUUUCUGCCCCCUUCCUGUUUUCCUCUCCUCUUUUUCUCUCUUGUCCCUCUUCCCCCCCUCCCUUGUUCUC